rnacentral:rRNA from 1 species
AGAUUAAGCCAUGCAUGUCUAAGUAUAAGUUAUAUACGGCGAAACUGCGAAUGGCUCAUUAAAACAGUUAUAGUUUAUUUGAUGAUGAGUUUUAUAUGGAUAACCGUGGGAAACCAGAGCUAAUACAUGCGUGAAGACCUUAGGGUUGUAUUUAUUAGUUUAAACCAUUGGCUACGCCGAUGUGAUGAUUCAUAAUAACUGAUCGGAGGGCGUCGUUACGCCCUAAAUCUUUCAAGUUUCUGCCCUAUCAGCUUUCGAUGGUAGUGUAUUGGACUACCAUGGCGUUCACGGGUAACGGAGAAUUAGGGUUCGAUUCCGGAGAAGCAGCCUGAGAAACGGCUACUACAUCUACGGCAGGCAGCAGGCGCGUAAAUUACCCAAUCCUAAAUCAGGGAGGUAGUCACAAGAAAUAACGAGCCAGAAUUAAGUUUCUAGUAUUGCAAUGGAUUCACUUUAAAUCCUUGUUUGAAAUCUAUUGGAGGGCAAGUCUGGUGCCAGCAGCCGCGGUAAUUCCAGCUCCAAUAGCGUAUCUUAAUGUUGUUGCAGUUAAAAAGCUCGUAGUUGAAAUUCUGGGCCGGGCCGGCUUCCAAUUUGGUCGCCUCCGUCCGAGUCCAUCCGCCUGGGGACUUGAUCGUAGUUCACUCUACGUCAUGCACAACCAGGCACUUUACUUUGAAGAAAUUAGAGUGUUUCAGGCAGGCUUUCGCUUGUAUACACCAGCAUGUAAUAAUAGAAAAGGACUGCUUCAAUUUUAUUGGUAUAUUUGGAGUAGUAAUGAUUAACAGGAACAGUUGGGGGCAUUCGUAUUUAGUAGUUAGAGGUGAAAUUCUUGGAUUUACUAAGGACGAACUAAUGCGAAAGCAUUUGCCAAGGAUGUUUUCAUUAAUCAAGAACGAAAGUUAGGGGAUCAAAGACGAUUAGAUACCGUCCUAGUCCUAACCAUAAACUAUACCGACUCGGGAUUGGGAGGGCGACGUGCCCUUUCAGCAUCGUUACGAGAAAUUAAAGUCUUUGGGUUCUGGGGGGAGUAUCGUCGCAAGGCUGAAACUUAAAGGAAUUGACGGAAGAGCACCACCAGGAGUGGAGCCUGCGGCUUAAUUUGAUUCAACACAGGGAAACUUACCAGGGCAAGACCUUAAUAGGAUUGUCAGCUUGAGAGUGCUUACUUGAUUCGAGGGAAAGUGGUGCAUGGCCCGCUUUAGUUCGUGGUCUGAGCUGUCCCGCUAAUCCGCUUAACGAACGAGACCUUAAUCCUAACUAGUAGCGGUUAAACCAUAGCCGUAUACUUCUUAGAGAGACUUAAUUGGCAACAGUGAGGAAGUUUGAGGCAACGCGAGGUCCGUGAUGCCCUUAGGUGUCCUGGGCCGCACGCGCGCUACACUGACACGCUCAUCAAGUAUUAGCUUGCCCGAAAGGGUCGGCAGAUCUUUGAAUACGUGUCGUGCUAGGGAUCGAUCUUUGCAAUUAUGGAUCGUGAACGAGGAAUUCCUAGUAGGCAUAAGUCAUCAGCUUGUGCCGAUUACGUCCCUGCUCUUUGUACACACCGCCCGUCGCUCCUACCGAUUUUGAGUGAUCCGGUGAACCGUCUGGACCUGUGUUGUCUUCAGCGUGGGGAAGUUCCGUAAAUCUUAUCACUUAGAGGAAGGAGAAGUCGUAACAAGGUA